rnacentral:tRNA from 1 species
GGGCUGGUGGCGCAGCUCGGAAGCGCACCUCCUUGGCAUGGAGGGGGCCGGGGGUUCAAAUCCCCCCCAGUCCA